GACGAACGCUGGCGGCGUGCUUAACACAUGCAAGUCGAACGAGUGGCGAACGGGUGAGUAACACGUGGGUGAUCUGCCUUGCACUUCGGGAUAAGCUUGGGAAACUGGGUCUAAUACCGGCUAGUGCAAGAUGAGCUCGCGGCCUAUCAGCUUGUUGGUGGGGUAAUGGCUACCAAGGCGCGACGGGUAGCCGGCCUGAGAGGGUGUACGGCCAAAUUGGGACUGAGAUACGGAACAGAAUCGUACGGGAGGCAGAAGUAGGGAAUCGUAGGAAAGGGGGGGAACACUGACCGAGAAAAGCCGCGGGAGUGAGGAAGGUUUUCGGAAAGUAAAGCUCUGUUGUUAAGGAAGCGGUACUUAACCAGAAAGGGACGGCUAACUACGUGCCAGCAGCCGCGGUAAUAC
rnacentral:rRNA from 1 species